rnacentral:rRNA from 1 species
AAUUGCCAUCAUUGAGUUGGGCACUUUAAAGAGACUGCCGGUGUUAAAACCGGAGGAAGGUGGGGAUGACGUCAAGUCCUCACGGCCUUUAUGUCCAGGGCUACACACGUGCUACAAUGGGUGGUACAAAGGGGCGCAAGACCGCGAGGUGGAGCAAAUCCCAAAAAACCGGUCUCAGUUCGGAUUGGAGUCUGCAACUCGACUCCAUGAAGUUGGAAUCGCUAGUAAUCGCGUAUCAGCAUGACGCGGUGAAUACGUUCCCGGGCCUU